AUUACUAAGAGAUUUUGUUUGAUCAUUGUGUAGGUAUAUGGGCUGAUAAAGAAAGUGAUGACAGUGAUAAUGAAACAAAUGAAAGAACAAAGAAGAACAAAUCUUUAGCUGGAGGAAUAAGCUUUAUAAGUGGAGGAUAUAAAGUAGAGCAAGAAAAUGAUUCUGCUGAAGAGACAAGCCAAAGUAAACAGAAAAAAAGUUCUGGUAAAGAAGGUCCAAGUCCUAUGCCACGAUAUGUUAGAGGACAUCAGAAAGAUUCGGAUAAGGAAUUCGGAGCUUGGGAAAAAUACACU
rnacentral:sRNA from 1 species